rnacentral:lncRNA from 1 species
AUCCUAAACAAAGCAAAAAGAGAAGGGAUGAAGAAUCAAAACCACAAUGGAGUCCCUCUCUUGAGAUCAUAUGGAUGAUCCAAGUAGCUCCCAUCCUUUGGAAUAAGCAAUCACAAAAAGCAUAAUCAAUCAUCAAACAAGCCUCUUAAGAGGUCCUCAAUGUGUCUUGUGUCUUUCACUUUGAAUGAACAUGGCAAUGAUCCUUCAAUUUGAGCUCAUAGAAU